GCACUCGUAAAUAAUUACCAAGAAAAAAAAAAAAAAUCUACUUUCCAUUUCUUUAUAUUGUUUGUUUAUUCAUAAAUGAAUUUCAAUCUAAAUUGUGAAAAAAAUAAGGUUCACAUCUACAGAACAAAAAAACAAUAAAAAUCUUUAUUUUUUUUAAAAAAAUUAUAGUAUUUAAUUCAGAUGUCCCACAAGGAAAGGAUAUUUUUUUUAUUAAUAAUUAAAAAUUUUUACUUUAUUAUUAAAAAAUUUCAUUCUUCAUCCCAUUAAUUAAAAAAAAAUUAAAGAUUAAGAAAAAUUCAUAAAUGAUCAUGUUAUCAAUAUUAUUUCUUUUAAGAAAGGAUUGGAAUUGAUUUCUUUUGGGAAAAAAAACAAGAAUUUAAACUAAAACUAAUAAUUCAAGGCCAGAAUAUUUUUUUUUUAAAUAAAAAAAAAAGAAAGAAAGAGAAAGAGAAAUUUAAUAAUGAACCUGAAGCAAGGCCUCCUGUGAUUCCCAGAAGAUGGUCCUUUCCAUGGAGUUGUGCACAUGGGUAUUAUGAUGAUCAAAAAAUGAAUCAUGAUCAUCAUGACCAUCAUGAUUAUCAUAAUCAAAAGCAUGAAGAGAAGGAUCAGCAUCAUCAAAAAAUUGAUCAAGAAACACAGAAACUCUCUCUUCAAGGCUAUCAUCUAUGCUUCUACUAUAGCCAUAACCAAGAAGAGCCUUCUCCUUCUCUUCAACAAGAUUGUUAAUACCCAUCUCUCUCUUUCUCCCUCUCUUUCUCUCCUUUGAUUUCUCUCAAGGAAGGAAAGAGAUAUUGAUGGGAAGGUUGGAGAAAGAAAGAAACAAUGGAUGAAGAUGAAGAAAAGGCUCUCACAAGACAAUGUGCAUGAGGUCCCCAAUAUUUAUAGCCUUAAUUAUUUUCCAC
rnacentral:lncRNA from 1 species